rnacentral:rRNA from 1 species
UACGUAGGGUGCGAGCGUUAAUCGGAAUUACUGGGCGUAAAGCGUGCGCAGGCGGUUUUGUAAGCCAGAUGUGAAAUCCCCGGGCUCAACCCGGGAACUGCGUCCGAGACUGAAAGGCUUGAAUCCGGGAGAGGGAUGUGGAAUUCCAGGUGUAGCGGUGAAAUGCGUAGAUAUCUGGAGGAACAUCGGUGGCGAAGGCGGCAUCCUGGACCGGUAUUGACGCUGAGGCGCGAAAGCCAGGGGAGCAAACGGG